AAGACUAUACUUCCAGGGAUCAUUUCGAUAGUUCGUCACUAGAGAAGUUUCUCUGACUAUGUAGAGUACCGGAAACCAUGAGGAGGAGGAGAAGAAUCGUCAUGAAGUGGCUGUUGGUGUUGCUUUGCUGCUACUGCCACUUGCUAUUGAUGAUCAUUCCUGCUUUUCUUAGGGGGAGCUGUAGGGAAAAGACGCAAUCUGAGUGGC
rnacentral:snoRNA from 1 species